CUGCCGCCUCACAGGCUGGCAGAAUGGUGCGAUCUCUCUCCCUCUCCGCAGUUCCAGCAGCCUGAGGCCGGGCAUGUCGCAAAGCAACCCAGAAAAUCCCUCCUGGCUUUAAGCUGUGUGCGGCGGCUGCUGCUGCUGCUGAGGGCUGGUUGGCUGGACGCCGGCCUCUUGGCGGGCCAGCCAGCGUUCAGCCGCCCACGCGGGGCCCAGCGGUGGAGAGGUGGGAGUGAUGCAGUUCUCUCGUUCCCCGGAGCAAUCGCCGGCCGGGUGGCCCUGCCUGCCCCGCUGGAAGGAAGGAGGGGGGUGACGGGAAGCGUGAGAAGGAUGCGCUGGCCUUAGGCGCUACCGGUUAGGGACAGCCCCGAGCAAGCAGCCGGCCAGCUCGGCCCUGCCCAUAGAGUCUUGCCUCCUUUGCAUUUACCCACAUCAUUGCAUUGACUGUUUGCACAGCUCUCCCCAGGAUUAGAGACAGAUAUACACAGAUGUAUGUAUCUCUUGCCUGUUCACCCUGUUGGCUCUGUCUCCAACCUGGAGGAAUGCCUGAACAAUAUAGUCAGCCAAAUGCUACUUUUUAAUCAAGCCUAAGAAGACUAAGCUUUGACCACAUCUGUUCAUGUAGCUGUCUCAGUAUGAGAAGCAGCUACCACACUAGGAGUGGACCAUGAAAAUGAGACUUAAGUCAAGAAUGGGGAACCUGUGUCCCUCCAGAUGCUGUAGGACUACACCUCCCAUUAUCCCUGAC